AGGAGAAGGAUGAUGGAGGAAUGGAAAGAUCAGAGGAGGAGGAGGAUGGAGGAAUGGAAAGAUCAGAGGAGGAGGGGGAUGGAGGAAUGAUGAUACAGAAAGAGACAGCAAGAGAGGAAGAGACUGUGAUUUUUAGAACACCAAGUGGCCGGUCCAGACAACGACUGAGGGACAUAUUCCGCUCCAUAUUCUGCUGUUGUUGCUGCAAAACCAGCGACUAGAAAAAAACAAAUACAAAAAGAAAAAAAAAGAUAAAAAGAAAAAAA